UUUCAUCUGAAGGAGGUUGUCACAAUUCAAAGGCAUCCAGUCUGAAUGAUACUCAAGUCUUUCCGAUUCUUCUUCAGAUAUCUGCAAUCAUGAUUAUUUUUACUCUCCUCAGCUUUUUGUGGACGUUUAUUGGCCACACAGAGGCAGAUGCAAUAAAACCAUUGUCAGAGGAUGAAAAUAGACUUGUUGGUGACGCUGUUACUCUGUCCUGCAGUUACAAAGACUAUACGAGUACUGUACAGAAUUUACAAUGGUACAGACAAUAUCCCAGAUCCAAACCGGAGUUCCUUCUUUACAUCUUACCAAGUGGAGUUAUGAGUGAAGAUAGACCAGACAGAUUUUCUGCUAAAGUUCAUCAAGAUAUUAAACAAGUGGAUCUGGAGAUCUCCUCUGCUGAAGUGUCAGACUCUGCCGUGUAUUACUGUGCUCUGAGGCCCACAGUCACAGGAAAUCUAACAGCGUCAUACAAAAACCUCACAUGCCAUAAUAAGAUGAAGCUCUAAACACUUACUUCAUCUGCUCUUAAAUGCAAAUGCAUCAUUGCCACAUUAGUCUCUUCUUUUUCUGAAACAACUCAUAACAUAUAUAUUCACAGUUAAGGGUUCACAUCUCCCAUAUGACCGAAAUUGUGCAGCAAACAGUUUUGCCAGAAGAUAGCGCAGAAGUGAGACAGAAGAGAAGCUGUCUUUUCAUUUUGUGUGCACUAAGGCAUGCUUAUUGGUAUUGCACUAAGGAAUAAUGAGUCACCUCACAGACAAAUUUAGCUCAUACAUAAACAAAGAGUAACAAAAAAUAAUGAAAUUAAA